rnacentral:rRNA from 1 species
CGAAGGGGGCGAGCGUUAUUCGGAAUCACUGGGCGUAAAGCGUGCGUAGGCUGUCUAGCAAGUUGGAAGUGAAAGCCCAGGGCUCAACCCUGGAAUUGCUUUCAAAACUGCAAGACUAGAGUCCGGGGAGAGGAUAGCGGAAUUUCCAGUGUAGUAGUGAAAUACGUAGAUAUUGGAAGGAACACCAGUGGCGCAAGCGGCUAUCUGGACCGGUACUGACGCUGAGGCACGAAAGCGUGGGGAUCAAACAGGAUUAGAUACCCUGGUAGUCCACGCUGUAAACGAUGUGAGUUUGUCGCCGGGGAGUUUACUCUUCGGUGACGUAGCUAACGCGAUAAACUCACCGCCUGGGAAGUACGGCCGCAAGGUUA